AUUGAACGCUGGCGGCAUGCCUUACACAUGCAAGUCGAACGGUAACAGGUCUUCGGAUGCUGACGAGUGGCGAACGGGUGAGUAAUACAUCGGAACGUGCCCGAGAGUGGGGGAUAACGAGGCGAAAGCUUUGCUAAUACCGCAUACGAUCUCAGGAUGAAAGCAGGGGACCGCAAGGCCUUGCGCUCAUGGAGCGGCCGAUGGCAGAUUAGGGAGUUGGUGGGAUAAAAGCGUACCAAGCCGACGAUCUGUAGCUGGUCUGAGAGGACGACCAGCCACACGGGGACUGAGACACGGCCCAGACUCCUACGUGAGGCAGCAGUGGGGAAUUUUGGACAAUGGGCGAACGCCUGAUCCAGCCAUGCCGCGUGCAGGAUGAAGGCCUUCGGGUUGUAAACUGCUUUUGUGCGGAACGAAAAGACUCCUUCUAAUAAAGGGGGUCCAUGACGGUACCGUAAGAAUAAGCACCGGCUAACUACGUGCCAGCAGCCGCAGUAACAC
rnacentral:rRNA from 1 species